CGUCGAGAGGUUAACGCUAGGCGGUUAGCCAAUGAAAGUACAUCUUCGGUACACAAGUUCUCUCUUUUGCUCUAGUCUUCCGGUCCGCCUGCCAGAAAUAUUUGUUCCGCCUGCUCCGCGUGCUAGUUUAGUGAAAAUAUAUUAAGCCAUGGUGGCGAAGCCAUUAAGUUUAGAACAAGUUCGCCACUGCACCCUAUCCAAAAGACCUUGUUUGCGACUUGAACCAAGACAGAAGGUGCUUUGGAGGAACAUGUCAGUGAUAUGUUCCUUCUGUAAAGCACUGGAGUACCUGAGCUACAUCUCUCAAAGUGAACCCUCAUACAGAGACCAUACUGAGUACUACGCAGAGGUACCUGGCGGUACAGCUAUAAGGUCAACCUCAGCAUAGAUGAGUCCAGAAUCCACGCCCCUUAGGUAUUUGCUCCUGAUAUCCUGACCAGCAGAACAUAUACAGAAAGAAGUGUUCCACUACCAAUUUCCGUUCAUCUGUGGUUCUCCUGACAUGUUGGGAGAGCAGGGAUUUCAAUUCUGACUGCUCUUCAAUUAACAUAAUCAUCCUCAACAUCCUCACAUUCUGCACAUCCUCACAUCCUGUGGUUCACUGCAACGGGUAGUUACAUCAGUACAGCGGAUCAUUGGCGCAUGAACUCGCCACAUUGAAAGUUUACUGUACCACACUGAGUAACAUCUCAUAUUAAUAGCUUGAAUUUCCCCUUGGGCAUCACUAAAGUAUCUAUCUAUCUAUUAGCACUAUUUUGUAAUUGUACCACACUGACAAAUUGCUGCUACUCUACUAUUCAAUGAUUAUUUUACCACACCAAUGGUGUUUGAUGAAAUAUACAUCAUGCACUGCGCGUGCAGACAGCAGUUGCAGGAAUAUGCUAUCAUCUUGAGCAAUAUCAUUAUUUUUGCACUUAAACAUAACAUUCCAGAAUCACAUCCAAAACCUUUCCACGUUGAGUGACUACCAUUUUUUUUCCACUUAAAAAUGAGUUUCUUUAAAUGAUACUGAUAAUUGUAACUAGAUACUUGUUUGAGUUUAUUAUAUUUA